rnacentral:rRNA from 1 species
CGCAACCCCUGCUAUCUGUUGCCAGCAAGUAAUGUUGGGACGUCAGAUGGAACUGCCGGUGACAAACCGGAGGAAGGUGGGGACGACGUCAAGUCAUCAUGGCCCUUAUGUCCUGGGCUACACACGUGCUACAAUGGCCGGUACAGAGCGCAGCGAAGCCGCGAGGCAAAGCGAAUCGCAAAAAGCCGGUCUCAGUACGGAUUGGAGUCUGAAACCCGACUCCAUGAAGUUGGAAUCGCUAGUAAUCGCGCAUCAGCAUGGCGCGGUGAAUACGUUCCCGGGCCUU